rnacentral:rRNA from 1 species
GAUGAACGCUGGCGGCGUGCCUAAUACAUGCAAGUCGAGCGAACAGACGAGGAGCUUGCUCCUCUGACGUUAGCGGCGGACGGGUGAGUAACACGUGGAUAACCUACCUAUAAGACUGGGAUAACUUCGGGAAACCGGAGCUAAUACCGGAUAAGCUAUUGAACCGCAUGGUUCAAUAGUGAAAUACGGCUUUGCUGUCACUUAUAGAUGGAUCCGCGCCGGAUUAGCUAGUUGGUAAGGUAACGGCUUACCAAGGCAACGCUGCGUAGCCGACGUGAGAGGGUGAUCGGCCACACUGGAACUGAGACGCGGUCCAGACGCCUGCGGGAGGCAGCAGUAGGGAACCUUCCGCAGUGGGCGGAAGCCUGACGGAGCGACGCCGCGUGAGUGAUGAAGGUCUUCGGAUCGUAAAACUCUGUUAUUAGGGAAGAACAAAUGUGUAAGUAACUAUGCACGUCUUGACGGUACCUAAUCAGAAAGCCCCGGCUAACUACGUG